rnacentral:rRNA from 1 species
UACGUAGGUGGCAAGCGUUGUCCGGAUUUACUGGGCGUAAAGAGCGCGCAGGCGGUCGAGUAAGUCGAAUGUGAAAGCCCCCCGGCUUAACUGGGGGAGGGUCAUUCGAUACUGUUCGACUUGAAGGCAGGAGAGGGCAGCAGAAUUCCCGGUGUAGUGGUGAAAAUGCGUAGAUAUCGGGAGGAACACCAGUGGCGAAGGCGACUACCUGGCCUGUUUCUUGACGCUGAGGCGCGAAAGCUAGGGGAGCAAACGGG